UACAGAGGUCCCAAGCGUUGUUCGGAUUCACUGGGCGUAAAGGGUGCGUAGGUGGUGGGGUAAGUUUGAUGUGAAAUCUCCGAGCUUAACUCGGAAAUGGCAUUGAAUACUACUCUGCUGGAGGGUCGGAGGGGAGACUGGAAUUUUCGGUGUAGCAGUGAAAUGCGUGGAUAUCGAAAGGAACACCAGUGGCGAAAGCGAGUCUCUGGACGACUCCUGACACUGAGGCACGAAAGCUAGGGGAGCAAACAGG
rnacentral:rRNA from 1 species